UCUCCGUUGGUGAACCAGCGGAGGGAUCAUUACCGAGUUUACAACUCCCAAACCCGAUGUGAACGUUACCAAACGGUUGCCUCGGCGGGGUCACGCCCCGGGUGCGUCGCAGCCCCGGAACCAGGCGCCCGCCGGAGGAACCAACCAAACUCUUUCUGUAGUCCCCUCGCGGACGUUAUUUCUUACAGCUCUGAGCAAAAAUUCAAAAUGAAUCAAAACUUUCAACAACGGAUCUCUUGGUUCUG
rnacentral:misc_RNA from 1 species